GACGAACGCUGGCGGCGUGCUUAACACAUGAAAGUCGAACGCAGUUUCGAACGGGUGAGUAACGCGUUAUCAACCUGCCCUUCAGAGGGGAACCACCGUUGGAAACGACUGCUAAUACCCCAUACUGACGCAGGGCAUUGCUGCGGCUUAGGUAGUUGGAGGGGUAACGGCCCACCAAGGCGAUGAUCAGUAGCCGGUCUGAGAGGAUGAACGGCCACAUUGGGACUGAGACACGGCCCAGACUCCUACGGGAGGCAGCAGUGGGGAAUCUCCCGCAAUGGACGAAAGUCUGACGGAGCAACGCCGCGUGAGUGAUGACGGCCUUCGGGUUGUAAAGCUCUGUUAAUCGGGACGCGGUACCGGAAUAGAAAGCCACGGCUAACUACGUGCCAGCAGCCGCGGUAAUAC
rnacentral:rRNA from 1 species